CCUAAAUCUCCAUUUCCUUUUCCGCCUCCUUCACCCUAUCUUCUUCUCCUUCAACUGAAACCCUAACACACUCACCCCAUCUUCUUCUUCGACUGAAACCCUAUCAAAGUAAAUUUCAUCACUUUCUUCUUGUGCUCCUCUCGGCCGGUCUCCAUCUCUAACCUAAAUUAAGAAAGAUGAGGCUAUAACCCCAUAUGAACAUUACCAGAACACUGCUCUUUUCUCCAUCUUCUUCAUCUCCCUCCUCCAAAUCAGAGAAACGAAACCAUAAUCCAUAUACCCAUAAAUCAAUACUCUAAUUUUAUUGGAAAUAGAUACUGAACCCAGUAGAUCUGAUGUUCUCUUAAGAUUUGGAUCAAAAUUAGAGUUUUGAUUUGGGGUUUUUGUUAGGGUUUCUUUUGAUUUAAUAGAAAAUGCUUUACGUUUGGUGAAGUUACAAAUUGAAAUGUUGCAGACCCCAAUCUGGGUAAAAUUGUAGUUUAUGAUGUGCGAAACUAUACCGAUUUGAUAAAGAUGGAAAUAAUCGUUCUUCCUACAAUUUUGGUUCAACAACAUACUGGGAAUGGGAGUCAGAUAUCAUGGUUCGUGCAUGCUACUGAUUUGUCUGAUGGUGAAUUGAAAGAAGAGGUGUUCUGUGCUCGAUUUGUAUACAUGGAGGGUUUCUGGCAUUUGCCAAACCUGGAGGUGUAUGAUGUGAGACUUUGGCGGAAUUGGUGGCUAUUCUAGCAGGGUGUAUAGGAGACUUUGGCGGUUCUAUCUAUAAUGUAGUUGGAUGUUUUAAUGGAAUGUGAAAGGCGAUAUAACCUUACUGUUUCUGGCAACCAUUUCCGCAGAGUACGGGAUGUGGAUUUGAAGCAUGACUUCGCCUUUGUUAAUUGUUUGUUGAUGAAAACUCGCAAUUGAAGGCCAUUGAUUUUGGCUUGUCCGAUUUUGUGAAACCAGAUAGAAGGCUUAAUGACAUCGUUGGAAGUGCAUACUAUGUUGCAUCUGAAGUUCUACAUAGAUCUUACAGUACAGAGGCUGAUGUGUGGAGUAUUGGUGUGAUAUCAUAUAUACUUUUAUGUGGAAGUUGUCCGUUCUUGGCUCGCACAGAGUCCGAGAUUUUCCCGCCCUUUAGGGCGGACUCGAUGAACCUCCUUGGCCUUCUUUAUCUUCUGAAGCCAAGCAUUUUGUCAAGCGUCUAUUGAAUAAAGACCCACAUGAACGAGUGAUGGCUGCUGAGGCAUUAAGUCAUCCUUGGAUUAGUAACUAUAAUGAUAUUCAAGCUCAUGAAAGCCUAUAUGUGCUCAUCAUCUCUACAUAAAGCGGUGUUAAGAGGAAAGAAGAGACUUGCUGAAGUUGCUAACAAUAAGCCCACUCUUGGACAAAAAUGUUAAAGUAGAAACUCCUCAGAAGUUAGGUGCUGAUGGCAAGAAAGGUGGUGCUGUUCAUCAAGGUACUCCUUACCCCAAGGGAGGAAAGACCCCUGUAAGUGGAGGCAAGUCAAACAAAUCUCUACUAGGGCAUUCGGUACAGUUCACAGUCAAGAACUGCAAUAGGUUUUGAUGUCUAUUAGCUUGUUCAGACACUUAUUUUUUGGUGCCUAGGAAGUUUGUUUUCUUACUUGCAAUCAUAUUUGUUUCUUUGUUCAUAAUGAAUAGAAUGAUUUUUUGUAAAUGAAUUGUAAAUUGGGGAUAGUUUGCAGGCCUAUGUUUCCAGUCAGUUGUUGUAUUGCAGGCCUAUGUUUCAGGUUCAGUUGUUGUAUUGCAGGCCUGUGUUUCUGGUUUAAUUGUGUAGGCCUGUAAACUGGAAGGCCAGGUCCAUGAUAAUGACCUGGACUAUCCAUUUUUUUUAAUUGUAAUUGAAAUAAUUGUCAUAGGGGCAACUGUGACCAAAACUGUGAAGAAAAACAACACGUGUCAUCA